AGAGUUUGAUCCUGGCUCAGGAUAAACGCUGGCGGCGUGCGUAAAACAUGUAAGUCGAACGGAGUCGGCGCAAGCCGGCUUAGUGGCGGACGGCUGAAUAACGCGUGGGUGACUUGCCCCGAAGUGGGGAAUAACGAUUCGAAAGAAUCGCUAAUACCGCAUGUGGUUGUGCGUAUGGACGCGUGCAACUAAAGCCCGCAGGGGCGCUUUGGGAGAGGCCUGCGUCCGAUUAGCUUGUUGGUGGGGUAACGGCCUACCAAGGCGACGAUCGGUAGCUGAUCUGAGAGGAUGGUCAGCCAGACUGGGACUGAGACACGGCCCAGACUCCCACGGGAGGCAGCAGUUAGGAAUUUUGCACAAUGGGGGAAACCCUGAUGCAGCAACGCCGCGUGGACGAUGAAGGCCUUCGGGUCGUAAAGUCCUUUUCAGAGGGAAGAAUCGGACGGUACCUCUGGAAUAAGCCUCGGCUAACUACGUGCCAGCAGCCGCGGUAACACGUAGGAGGCGAGCGUUAUCCGGAUUUACUGGGCGUAAAGAGCGUGUAGGCGGUUUCGUAAGUUGGGCGUGAAAGCCCCCGGCUUAACUGGGGAGGGUCGUUCAAUACUGCGAGACUUGAGGGUGGACGAGGAGACCAGAAUUCCCGGUGUAGUGGUGAAAUGCGUAGAUAUCGGGAGGAAUACCUGUGGCGAAGGCGGGUCUCUGGGCCACUCCUGACGCUGAGACGCGAAAGCGUGGGGAGCGAACGGAAUUAGAUACUCCGGUAGUCCACGCCCUAAACUAUGGACACUAGGUGUGGUGGGUAUCGGCCCCUGCCGUGCCGUAGUCAACACAAUAAGUGUCCCGCCUGGGGACUACGAGCGCAAGCUUAAAACUCAAA
rnacentral:rRNA from 1 species